GACGAACGCUGGCGGCGUGCUUAACACAUGCAAGUCGAACGGUAAGGCUCCAGCUUGCUGGGGUACACGAGUGGCGAACGGGUGAGUAACACGUGGGUGACCUGCCCUGCACUUCGGGAUAAGCCUGGGAAACUGGGUCUAAUACCGGAUAGGACCAUGGUGUGGAUACUGUGGUGGAAAGAUUUUUCGUUGUGGGAUGGGCCCGCGGCCUAUCAGCUUGUUGGUGGGGUAAUGGCCUACCAAGGCGGCGACGGGUAGCCGGCCUGAGAGGGUGGACGGCCACAUUGGGACUGAGACACGGCCCAGACUCCUACGGGAGGCAGCAGUGGGGAAUAUUGCACAAUGGGCGGAAGCCUGAUGCAGCGACUCCGCGUGGGGGAUGACGGCCUUCGGGUUGUAAACUCCUUUCACCAUCGACGAAGGGUUUCUGACGGUAGAUGGAGAAGAAGCACCGGCUAACUACGUG
rnacentral:rRNA from 1 species